rnacentral:rRNA from 1 species
CGCCAACACUGGGACUGAGAACUGCCCAGACUCCUACGGGAGGCUGCAGUCGAGAAUCAUUCGCAAUGGGCGAAAGCCUGACGAUGCGACGCCGUGUGAGUGAAGAAGGCCUUCGGGUCGUAAAGCUCUUUCGCUUGGGAACAAGAAAGAUCUGCUAACAUCAGAUCAAUUUGAGCGUACCAGGUA